UACGGAGGGUGCGAGCGUUGUCCGGAAUCACUGGGCGUAAAGGGCGCGUAGGCGGCUUUUUAAGCGUGCGGUGAAAGCCCGGGGCUCAACCCCGGGUCGGCCGUGCGAACUGGAAAGCUCGAGCCCACUAGAGGCAGGCGGAAUUCCGGGUGUAGCGGUGGAAUGCGUAGAGAUCCGGAAGAACACCGGUGGCGAAGGCGGCCUGCUGGGGUGGAGCUGACGCUGAGGCGCGACAGCGUGGGGAGCAAACAGGG
rnacentral:rRNA from 1 species